GCCGGGGUAGCCUAGCCUGGGAAGGCGCGGGACUCGAGAUCCCGUGGGCGUCUGCCCACCAGGGUUCAAAUCCCUGCCCCGGCGCCA
rnacentral:tRNA from 1 species